CCCAGGGAGACGCUGGUGCCGAGCAGGAUGCAGGGCCGCGUGGCAGGGAGCCUGGCUCCUCUGGGGCUGCUCCUGGUCUGUCUGCAUCUCCCAGGCCUCUUUGCCCGGAGCAUUGGUACAGCAGAGGAGAAGGCUUCCCUGCACCCCAGGGCUGAUGUGCCCGCUCUGGGACAGCCUCCCUUCACCGGCCCCUUGAGCGCUAGACACGCCCAGCCCCACGCCGACCCAGGGCCGCAUGAUGUUCCCGGGGCUCCUGCACAGUUCAGCGUGCCUCCACCAGGUGGCCCCCAAGCUGCAGGACGUGCAGGGAGGCAGACCCUGUCCUGGGGGCUGCCCCCCACGGAGUCCUGGCCUGCUGAGGUCCCUUGGCAGGUGAUGGCCGCGGCAGCUGAGGACCCUCUGGAGCAGGCGCUGCCCGAGGAGCCGGCUUACCUUUCGGGCGCCGGUGCACUCCCUCCGGGCAGCGAGCCGUGGCCUGUGGCGUUCUCUGCCAAAGCUGCACAACCCUCAUCCGAAGCUUCGCCCGUCCACCUGGACUCGGCAGCGAACCGGCUGACCCUCGCCACUCCGCUGGGGGUCUCGGGAGACCUCCUUGCCCAGCGCCCGUUCUGGUCUCUCAUCUACAGGCUUCUGCCUCGUCUGCCCUGGGGGGCUCUGAAUCCCAGUAUGCCUUGGGGAGGUGGGGUUCUGGGGACCGGAUGGGGAACGAGGCCCAUGCCCUACCCUUCUGGACCCUGGGGUGUCAACAGUAAGUUCCCAGGAGGCAGCUGGGGGAACAUUAACCGGUAUCCAGGAGGCAGCUGGGGGGGCACUAACCGGUAUCCAGGAGGCAGCUGGGGGGGCACUAGCCGGUAUCCAGGAGGCAGCUGGGGGGGCACUAGCUGGUACCCAGGAGGCAGCUGGGGGGCAGGCAGCUGGGGGAACAACAGUCGGUACCGAGGUGCUGGUGGGGGGAACGUUCCUCCCGGAGUCGUCCGUCCUCUCGGCCCUUCCUGGUACAUCCCCGCCGGCCUCUCUGAUCCGCAGAACCCGGGCUUGCAGUAGGGUUGGAGCUGAGCUCGGGGAGCCUGAGGAGGGCAGUCAGGACGGGGCGCUGCUCCUGCCCUCGCCCUGCGGGCGGCACCAGGCCUGGUCACUUGCUUUGCAGCCCGUGCUUCACUCCCCCGCCCCACACCCCCAUGCUGAUCUCCAAUAAACACAGCAGUCUUCCGCCU
rnacentral:lncRNA from 1 species